GACUUAUGGUUUGGAGGGGCAGUAUUCGUCAUGCCUUUGGCUGUACAAAAUAAAAGCUGCAGCCACAUGUCCACAGCAACGGAAUGCGUGGGAUUGUGGGUUAUUCAUGCUGAAGUACAUGGAUAUGUUAUCAAGUGGAAUUGGAAGCUGGAAAUGGAAUCAGUACAAUUCGGAGCAGGAGCGGCGCAAAGUAGCACUGUCUUUGGUUCUGGAUGAUGCCAACGUUGUCCGUCAUCAAAUUAUGCGGAAAGCGAACAUCCACAGGAGGUUGGAGAUGAAUAAAGUUGAGGCUGGAUGAAGGUGGCAAGAUAGAGAGACAAAGUAGCGGCAUUCUGUGGAAAGGGGCAUGUAAUAGGGGCUGUCAUACUCGGAUGCACG